rfam:Corynebacterium riegelii strain PTDD_83A45 genome.
GAGCUGUACACCCCACAACGGAUCGUUCGGCACGUACCUGCCGAUGGAGGAGAACACU